rnacentral:rRNA from 1 species
UACGGGGGGGGCAAGCGUUUGUUCGGAAUUACUGGGCGUAAAGGGCUCGUAGGCGGUCUGUCACGUCGGGAGUGAAAACACGGGGCUUAACCCCGUGCCUGCUUCCGAUACGGGCAGACUAGAGGUAUGCAGGGGGAGAACGGAAUUCCUGGUGUAGCGGUGAAAUGCGCAGAUAUCAGGAGGAACACCGGUGGCGAAGGCGGUCUCUGGGCAUUACCUGACGCUGAGGAGCGAAAGUGUGGGGAGCGAACAGG